AGAACCUCACCCAGAAUAGAUUCCCUUGAUGAAGUUGACGACCGGGAAGUAUUUCCCGUAAGCGUCAAACAUUCUUGUGAAUCAAUGACUCUGGGGAUCCUUUGUAACAAAGCCCUAGAUCAUACCCUAUGAGAACCCCGUUUUGGAAAAGCAAUCAAAUUUAUCCAUACCUCGGACCUUUGAACCUAUCCAAAGAAAAACAAAAAAAACAUUGCAUCCAUCCAUUCAUUGCAUAUGCAUAAAAAGCAAAA
rnacentral:lncRNA from 1 species